rnacentral:lncRNA from 1 species
UUCCCAAGGGGUUUGGGAUGUUCCCAAAAGGAUUGCCAGACCCCAGGGGCUGUUCCAGGGAACGCCCUCAUCCCAAAUCCAAGGCCUUGGGAGGAUCCUUGGGAUGAAUUCCAGAGGCUGCUCCAAGCCCCAUCCCACCUUUCCUGUGACAAUCCCAGAGAUUCCUGGGAAAACUCUGCCCGUCCCUCCCCCUUCCUCCUCCUCCUCCUCCCAGUUUUAUCCCUGAGCACAUCCAGGUGGGAAAUCCCUGGGAUGAGCUGGGAUUGGUUUUCAAUCCCCAUUUCCCAUCCCUGUGCCCAUUCCCAUCCCAGAUCCAAUCCCUGUUUCCCAUUCCCGUUCCCAUUCCCAUUUCCCAUUCCCGUUUCCCAUCUCCAUUUCUCAUUCCUGUUUCCCAUUCCCGUUCCAAUCCUCGUUCCCAUUCCCAUUUCCCAUUUCUGUUCCCAUUCCUGUUUCCCAUUCCCAUCCCCAUUUCCCGUUCCUAUCCCAGCUCCUUUCUGUGCUUCCUGGAAUUCCCCUCUGGAAUUGGGGCUGGAUCUGCGGGAUCUCCAUUUUUUAGGGAACAAACCCCUCCAGGGAACGGAGCCAAAAUUUGGGAAAACAUUGUGGGAUUGGAAUGAGCUUUCCUAAAAAUCUGGAUCAGGAACAGGUUCAGAGUUCAGAGCAUCCUGUGGGAAUCGUGGAAUAUUUUGGGCUGGGAAUUCUGACCAUUCCCAGUUCUGCCAAGGAUCCGCGACCCUGAAAUCCCCUGGGAUUUAAAUCCUGCAGGGAAUGGGGACUCCAGGGCUGAGAAUUCCACACAGGAUCCGUUCCCAAAAUCCAACUGAACUUUCCCAGGAAGUUUGAGGCCGUUCCCUCCUGUGGGUGAUUCCUGAGGAGCAGAUCCAGGAUUUCCCGUGGGAUCAGCAGAUCCCGAUCCCAGUGGGAUUUUCCACUUCCAGUGGAUCCCAGCAGGAUUGUCCAUGGGAUCAGCAGAUCCCAUUCCCAGUUGGAUUUUCCUGUAGGAUCAGCAGAUCCCAAUGCCUGUGGGAUUGUCCAUGGGAUCAGCAGACCCCGAUCCCAGUGGGAUUUCCCAUGGGAUCACCGGGAAUUGUCCCCGCAGAGCCCAGCCCUGUGUCCGUCACCAUCCCGGCCUCUCCCUUCAUGCAGAAGUUGGGAUUCGGCACCGGAGUCAGCGUCUACCUGAUGAAAAGGUUGGGAAUUGUUAUCCUGGGAAAUCCCGGAGGUGAUCCCGGUUUUCUUCUCCAUGGAUAUGGAGCCGAGCGAGGGAUUUGGGAAUUGUGGAGCUGAGAAGGAACGUGGAGUUUUGGGAUAACCCUGCCCCGGCUGGAAUUCUGGGAUUUGGGCUCCAUUCCUGGGAAUUCUGGAACUUGGGCUCCAUUAUUUUGGGAUAAUCUUGGCCCAGCUGGAAUUCCAGGGAUUUGGGCUCCAUUCUUGGGAAUUCCAAGAUUUUUGGGCUCCAUUGUUUUGAGAUAACCCUUUCCCAGCUGGAAUGCCAGGGCUUUGGGCUCCAUUCCUGGGAAUUCUGGGAUUUGGGCUCCAUUGUUUUGGGAUAACCCUGUCCUGGCUGGAAUUCAGGGAUAUUGGACGCCUUUAUUUUGGGAUA